CACUCAUCAAGACCGGCUGAGGGAUAGGCCCUUUGACGCCGGGGCAACCUUCCGAGGAUCCACCCGAUCCGCGGAGAUGGUGCCAACUCCUGCGAGGUUUCCCCGGAAGCCGCGAGAGAUGAGUG
rnacentral:ncRNA from 2 species